rnacentral:lncRNA from 1 species
CUGAUGCAGCCGAGGCUUCUAUGUGCUUGCCUGCAGCGUUUGACCUCUUGCACGUUGGCUAACUACCAUGAAAAGAGCGAGCCCCAAGCAACCACUGGUGUCAGAACAAGAGACCUCAACCCGACCUGCCACUUGGAGGAGAGCCGCCUCAGCCAGCUCACACACCGGAAAAACAUUAUUAAAAAUAAUCCCUGAGAGGCAGUAGAGGAUAAUGGUUAAGAAGACAGAGUGCCUGAGUUCAAAGCCUGACCCUUCCACUUACUAGGUGAGUGCCCUUGGGGAAAUGAUUUAAUAUCCCUGGGUCUUAGUUCACACUUAUACA